AUUGAACGCUGGCGGCAGGCUUAACACAUGCAAGUCGAGCGGAGAGAGGUAGCUUGCUACUGAUCUUAGCGGCGGACGGGUGAGUAAUGCUUAGGAAUCUGCCUAUUAGUGGGGGACAACAUUUCGAAAGGAAUGCUAAUACCGCAUACGUCCUACGGGAGAAAGCAGGGGAUCUUCGGACCUUGCGCUAAUAGAUGAGCCUAAGUCGGAUUAGCUAGUUGGUGGGGUAAAGGCCUACCAAGGAGACGAUCUGUAGCGGGUCUGAGAGGAUGGUCCGCAACAAUGGGACUGAGACACGGCCCAGACUCCUACGGGAGGCAGCAGUGGGGAAUAUUGGACAAUGGGCGGAAGCCUGAUCCAGCCAUGCCGCGUGUGUGAAGAAGGCCUUUUGGUUGUAAAGCACUUUAAGCGAGGAGGAGGCUACCUGGAUUAAUACUCUAGGAUAGUGGACGUUACUCGCAGAAUAAGCACCGGCUAACUCUGUGCCAGCCGCCGCAGUAAUAC
rnacentral:rRNA from 1 species